rnacentral:rRNA from 1 species
AACGCGAAGAACCUUACCAACUCUUGACAUCCCCCUGACCGGUACAGAGAUGUACCUUCCCCUUCGGGGGCAGGGGUGACAGGUGGUGCAUGGUUGUCGUCAGCUCGUGUCGUGAGAUGUUGGGUUAAGUCCCGCAACGAGCGCAACCCUUUUCCUUACUUGCCAGCAUUUCGGAUGGGAACUUUAAGGAUACUGCCAGUGACAAACUGGAGGAAGGCGGGGACGACGUCAAGUCAUCAUGGCCCUUACGGCCAGGGCUACACACGUGCUACAAUGGUCGGUACAAAGGGUUGCUACACAGCGAUGUGAUGCUAAUCUCAAAAAGCCGAUCGUAGUCCGGAUUGGAGUCUGCAACUCGACUCCAUGAAGUCGGAAUCGCUAGUAAUCGCGGAUCAGAAUGCCGCGGUGAAUAUGUUCCCGGGUCUUGUACACACCG